UGAACGCUGGCGGCGUGCCUAAUACAUGCAAGUCGAGCGAACAGAUGAGGAGCUUGCUCCUCUGACGUUAGCGGCGGACGGGUGAGUAACACGUGGAUAACCCACCUAUAAGACUGGGAUAACUUCGGGAAACCGGAGCUAAUACCGGAUAAUAUAUUGAACCGCAUGGUUUACUAGUGAAAGACGGUUUUGCUGUCACUUAUAGAUGGAUCCGCGCCGCAUUAGCUAGUUGGUAAGGUAACGGCUUACCAAGGCAACGAUGCGUAGCCGACCUGAGAGGGUGAUCGGCCACACUGGAACUGAGACACGGUCCAGACUCCUACGGGAGGCAGCAGUAGGGAAUCUUCCGCAAUGGGCGAAAGCCUGACGGAGCAACGCCGCGUGAGUGAUGAAGGUCUUCGGAUCGUAAAACUCUGUUAUUAGGGAAGAACAAAUGUGUAAGUAACUAUGCACGUCUUGACGGUACCUAAUCAGAAAGCCACGGCUAACUACGUG
rnacentral:rRNA from 1 species